UACGGUAGGGACCAAGCGUUGUUCGGAUUUACUGGGCGUAAAGGGCGCGUAGGCGGCUUAACAAGUCACUUGUGAAAUCUCCGGCUUAACUCGGAACGGCCAGUGAAACUGUCAAGCUAGAGUGCAGAAGGGGCAAUCGGAAUUCUGGUGUAGCGGUGAAAUGACGUAGAUAUCAAGAGGAACACCUGAGGUGAAGACGGGUUGCUGGGCUGACACUGACGCUGAGGCGCGAAAGCCAGGGAGCAAACGGG
rnacentral:rRNA from 1 species